rnacentral:rRNA from 1 species
UACGUAGGGGGCAAGCGUUGUCCGGAGUUACUGGGCGUAAAGCGCCCGCAGGCGGUCUGGUAAGUUUGGAGUGACAGUCAUCGGCUUAACUGAUGAAGUGCUUCGAAAACUGCCCGACUUGAGGGCUUCAGAGGGACACGGAAUUCCGGGUGGAGUGGUGAAAUGCGUAGAUAUCCGGAGGAACACCAAAGGCGUAGGCAGUGUCCUGGGAAGCAACUGACGCUCAUGUGCGAAAGCUAGGGGAGCGAACGGG